UAGCUGUCUUCGUCACAACGCACCAGAUUUUUCGUCGCCACUGCCGUUGUAAGCAGCCGCCAUGAAGUUUGGCCUGGUGUUCACUCUGUGUGUGCUGGUGGUGCUGGCGAGCCUCUGCGACGCUCAGCUGCCCACGGGCGAGCAGCAACAAUCGGGUGUGGAAGCGCGCCAUGGAGCUGCCGAGCGAAUCGAGGCGGACAGGCAGCAACUGUCUGCCAUGAUGCGUUACUUUCGCCGCCUCAUCCCGACGCAGCAGCACAGCACCUAGGCCUCCUCCAGUGAGUCAUCUUCUCACGUUCACAGUGUAGUGUAUUAAUAUUUUGAAU